rfam:Aedes aegypti strain Liverpool supercont1.564 genomic scaffold, whole genome shotgun sequence.
UGCCCAGCAACUUCUAUCCCUAACUCCUCGUGGUACUGGCAGGGGUACGAGUAACUUUGGGGAAGA